AUAGAGAGUUGGGCCUGCUCGGUGAAUAAAUUGUUUUAACAGCUGCGGUAUUUUAACUGUACUAAGGUAGCAUAAUAAUUUGCCUUAUAAUUUGAGGCUAGAAUGAAUGGUUUGACGAAGGUUAAUCUGUCUCUACUUUAUUUUUUAGAAUUUAAUUUUCAUAGUGAAAAAGCUUGAAUUUUUUAAAGGGACGAGAAGACCCUAUUGAGCUUAUAAUUUUAUUACUGGUUCAUUAAAAUAUAAAAGAAAGGUAUAUAAAUUUUAAUUGGGGUGAUUAAGGAAUAAAGAUAAUUAGUAACUUCCUUAUAAAGAAUAUUGUUGAAUAAAGUAACCAAUAUAAUAUUGCUUAUAAUAUAGUUACCAUAGGGAUAACAGCGUAAUUUGUUUAGAGAGUUCUUAUUGAAAAACAAGAUUGCGACCUCGAUGUUGGAUUAAAGUAACCUUAAGGUGCAGAAGCUUUAUUAGGUAAAUCG
rnacentral:rRNA from 1 species